rnacentral:snRNA from 1 species
GAAUGUGAGGGAGAUCUGGCUGAGACAUCUGUCACUCCAUUGUUCGCCAGUGUUGAUGCUGCUGAUCUGGCUGGCUAGGUAGGUGUCCCUUUCCUCCCUCACUGCUCCAUGUGUGUCCCUCCUGAAGCUGCGUGCUCGGUCAAAGAGGACGACCAUCCCCAUUGAGGAGGACCAUUCUUUGGUCAAGGGUAUAUGAGUAGCUGCGCUCCCUGCUAGAACCUCCAAAUAAGCUCUCAAAUGGUCAAGUGCCCAAAACACAGUACAGAAAUUAUUGACCUUGAGCUCAAUAAUGCAAUGUUGCU